AUUGAACGCUGGCGGCAUGCCUUACACAUGCAAGUCGAACGGCAGCACGGGAGCAAUCCUGGUGGCGAGUGGCGAACGGGUGAGUAAUAUAUCGGAACGUGCCCAGUCGUGGGGAUAACGUAGCGAAAGCUACGCUAAUACCGCAUACGAUCUAUGGAUGAAAGCGGGGGAUCGCAAGACCUCGCGCGAUUGGAGCGGCCGAUAUCAGAUUAGGUAGUUGGUGAGGUAAAGGCUCACCAAGCCGACGAUCUGUAGCUGGUCUGAGAGGACGACCAGCCACACUGGGACUGAGACACGGCCCAGACUCCUACGGGAGGCAGCAGUGGGGGAAUUUUGGACAAUGGCGCAAGCCUGAUCCAGCAAUGCCGCGUGCAGGAUGAAGGCCUCGG
rnacentral:rRNA from 1 species